GAUUGGGUAGCUUAGUUUGUAGAGCGGUCGUCCGGCAAGCGGAAGGUCCCGAGUUCGAUUCCCGGCCCAGUCU
rnacentral:tRNA from 1 species